AUACGGAGGGUGCAAGCGUUAAUCGGAAUUACUGGGCGUAAAGCGUGCGUAGGUGGUUUGUUAAGUUAGUUGUGAAAGCCCCGGGCUCAACCUGGGAACUGCAUUUGAAACUGGCAUACUAGAGUAUAGGAGAGGAAAGUGGAAUUUCAGGUGUAGCGGUGAAAUGCGUAGAUAUCUGAAGGAACAUCAAUGGCGAAGGCAGCUUUCUGGACUAAUACUGACACUGAGGUACGAAAGCGUGGGUAGCAAACAGGAUUAGAUACCCUAGUAGUCC
rnacentral:rRNA from 1 species